UUUUAUAUGAAAAGCCCCAAAAUAUUGCAAUCCAUAACAAAUCCUGCAAAUUUCAACAACUAGUAAGAUUUAAAUUAAAAAAACUAAAAAAAAUCAACCCAUAAUCGAAAAACCCACGAGGGUUUAACAAAGAUUUAGAGAAAAUAACCAAAAACCCACAUACCUUUUUGGUCUCAAAUUCAUCGAAAAAGGUCGAAUCACCGAGUUGAAUCUCUGCCGAAAAAAGCAAAGAAGCAUAAAGCAGACGGUAGAGCAAGCAGUAGUUAAAAUCCAGAGCUUCGGCGGAGCCUCAAACACCACCAAAUCAAAGCUAAAAUCUCUCCACGCAGCCUCCUCUUUCACUCUCCUCCGUUCCUCAGAGAAAACCCAAAUCCAAAACCUUCUGUAAAACUCUGUGAGAAAAGAUAGAGAGAGAGCCAAAGCGAAUGAAUGACGGCAUCUUGACGCCAUGUCAGCCCAAGUCAAACUGCCUUCGGGCUCUUGAGCAGGCACGAAUCCACUGGCCUGCUCAGGCUCGCUCUCCAACGCACGCUAGGCUACAUCACUCGAGCAUUCAAGCCCUAUUCCUCAACAUGUCCCUCGGGCUGGAGCUGCUCUAAAGAGUGGCGCGUAGGACUUCAUAUGCAGGUUAUCGCUUGUAAUUUGGGAAAGUGUUAAAUUAUUUGUUGACCUAUACUAAAAAAGUUCUAAAUUAUUUUGAUACAUCCUAAAUACAUAUAUAAUGGUUUUUUUUCUUGUCAAUUAGAGAUUUGCCAACAAAGUCCAAAUGGCCAACGGAUAAAGAUUUUGUAUAUACAGGUAGACCAGCUGCCUAAAAAAUGAGAAAGGUACAAACGAGACGUCACAACUCAAUGUGUUUACAUGCAACAGACAUCAACCCAAAUGGUAUAGAGGUCUGUCAAACUAUCAAAGAGAUGGGAAAAAUGCCUACUUCCAACAACACCGAUAUUGUCCCUAACUUCUUAAUUACCACUUGCACAGUUCGUCAGGUGUGGGGUUUUAUCACAAAAGGCAACGGUGUUAGUUGGUGUAUUUAUGAUAUUUAAACUCUUCUUCCUCUAGCCGAUGUGGGAUAUCCAACACGCCCUCUCAUGUAGGACUCAAUUAGUGGGUCACACGUGGGAGAUGCAUACAUCAGCAACCACGUAGAGCCAAAGGGACUCACACAACAGCGGUGUCAAAAGGACCCACCAUCAUCGCAUUAGGCCAAGGGGAUCCACCCAUCAUGUGGGUGUACAGGCCCACUUUCUGGCUCUAAUACCAAGUUAAAUUAUUAGAGAGACUGGCCAAAAGCCUACUUCCAACAAUACCUAUAUUGUCCAUAACUUGUUAAUUAUGACCUACACAGUUCGAAGCGUAGGGUUUUAUCACAAAAUGCCUUGGUAUUAGUUGGAGUGCAAUUAAAAUAUUUAACUCUUAAAUUUCUUUUCCUCUAGCCAACGUGGAAGAUCUACACAUAGACAACCACGUGAAACCAAAUUAUGCUCAUAUCUUUUAUUAGUUGGAGUGCGUAUAGUAAAAAUUGCCCGUUACUCUUCCUUACAAAUUACAUUUUUGAGGGCUAAAUUGUGCUCACGUCUUUUAUUAACUCUUCAUGAUUGGGGAUGGCUCUAUAACAAAUGUUUCAUUAUAAUAUAUAGACCAAAAGUUAAUUAACAUCACAAAUCACCCAAAGAUCCUCUCACCCAAAAAAUAAAAAUCAUAUGACAAUUAGAUUAAAUAGUAGUCAUUUUAGUGCUUCUUUAUGGGACUAUAUUCGCCCAUUUAUUUGCUACAUAUAAACAUCUUUAAUAGUUUUACAUUUAUAUAUAUAUGUGCCACAAUAAAAGUGGCAAAUUGAUUGUCAAAAAUUAGGU
rnacentral:lncRNA from 1 species